CAGGAAACUACAGGAAUCGUCCAGACUCUAGAGUGUGGAGAGACAAGUGAUGACCACAACAGGGACGUUGUGUGAAGGCUGCACGUGCCCUCACCCUACAGACUUGUGGGAUACAACGACACUUUGUCUACAGGACGAGUGGUCAGGAAACUACAACCGGACAAACAUCUUCACAGACACUAGCAUGACAGUCACGUGAUUACUGGCCGUAACCACUCGUCCUCACUGAUGUCUGUAACUUAUUUAGAAACCGGAUAUUAGGCUACAGGAACUAGAGAACACAAUCAGCUACUGUUCACGUUUAUCUUUCUCUCUGUAUGUCGAGGUGGUCGCCUACACACAAUGUUUGAAGACUCGGCUACACAACUAAGAAUAAUCGUGUACAUCACAGUCCUUGUCUUGUUCUCGUCGUUUUAUUACGGGUACAUUGUACUGAGCUGCUUGCUUUACACACACAAUUGUAUUUAGCUCUUAGUUGUUAAUAUACAAGGUCCUAAGUUUAUUUUUGUUUAUUCCUUGUUACUCCUCGGGGAGCACAGGGCCACAACAACACCUCGCCAGUCUUCUGUUUCUGGGAUGUUCUCUCAAUGUAUGCCUGGUGCGAAGACGCUCUUUAAGAACAUGUCUGACAUGAUACAAUGGCGACAUUAUCGCAAGUUUUGAGAGCUAACCCUAAAAGGGACACAACCAGGCGAUGUCAGCAUCCUGACGAGAGCUGCAGUGGUGACGAUGUGCGAUGCUGGCUGAGACUAAAGUCGUCUGCCGCCCUCACAUCACGUGACUCAGGAUGCACUCAGUCCUCGUUUUCCAUAGUCUUCCAUUUUACUGACAGUCGUGCGCUGUUUUCUACCACAGAAUCCUGUCAUUUCUCUCUACCUUCAGCCUUCCGUGUCCUGUCACCAUGCUCUGAUACUUCACACACUGAGUGUGACGUCACAUAAGACAACUGUCAACAAUGUCUGGUCAUCAGCCGUGUGCUCAACAAAAGGGACAGCGCACUAAAGGAAAAGGAAUCAAACAUUAUUUUGGAGGUCGUGGCCGGGUGGAAGUCUACCUACACACCGUGACUGACCAACAGGCUGAGCUACUGACUGACACAGGUCUCAGUCAGUGUCACAAAAGCAGUCUCUGAUGGAUGCUGCACAUGUGCUAAUGGCCAGAGUGGGCACUGUGGACAUAUUGUGGGCUUGCUCUACCAGCUUGCUCAUUUUAAGAUAACAGGAACAAACUAAAUUCCUGAGGUCAUCUUGACAAUGAAGAGGGAUGGUCUGAGACUAUUUCUAGGAUGCUGCAAAAACAUCACUGCCCCAGACAUGGCACAUCUCCAGAGGA